AUCACUUCUCGGCCCUUUUGGCUAAGAUCAAGUGUAGUCUGGAGCCAGGGCUUGCUCCGUCCACUCCACGCAUCGGCCUGGUAUUGCAGUGUCGCCAGGAACGGUGUGCUUCCC
ensembl:snRNA U2 U2 spliceosomal RNA